UCCGAGGCCGAAAGGCGUAGUCGAUGGGAAACAGGUUAAUAUUCCUGUACUUGGUGUUACUGCGAAGGGGGGACGGAGAAGGCUAUGUUGGCCGGGCGACGGUUGUCCCGGUUUAAGCGUGUAGGCUGGUUUUCCAGGCAAAUCCGGAAAAUCAAGGCUGAGGCGUGAUGACGAGGCACUACGGUGCUGAAGCAACAAAUGCCCUGCUUCCAGGAAAAGCCUCUAAGCAUCAGGUAACAUCAAAUCGUACCCCAAACCGACACAGGUGGUCAGGUAGAGAAUACCAAGGCGCUUGAGAGAACUCGGGUGAAGGAACUAGGCAAAAUGGUGCCGUAACUUCGGGAGAAGGCACGCUGAUAUGUAGGUGAAGCGACUUGCUCGUGGAGCUGAAAUCAGUCGAAGAUACCAGCUGGCUGCAACUGUUUAUUAAAAACACAGCACUGUGCAAACACGAAAGUGGACGUAUACGGUGUGACGCCUCCCCGGUGCCGGAAGGUUAAUUGAUGGGGUUAGCGCAAGCGAAGCUCUUGAUCGAAGCCCCGGUAAACGGCGGCCGUAACAAUAACGGUCCUAAGGUAGCGAAAUUCCUUGUCGGGUAAGUUCCGACCUGCACGAAUGGCGUAAUGAUGGCCAGGCUGUCUCCACCCGAGACUCAGUGAAAUUGAACUCGCUGUGAAGAUGCAGUGUACCCGCGGCAAGACGGAAAGACCCCGUGAACCUUUACUAUAGCUUGACACUGAACAUUGAGCCUUGAUGUGUAGGAUAGGUGGGAGGCUUAGAAGUGUGGACGCCAGUCUGCAUGGAGCCGACCUUGAAAUACCACCCUUUAAUGUUUGAUGUUCUAACGUUGACCCGUAAUCCGGGUUGCGGACAGUGUCUGGUGGGUAGUUUGACUGGGGCGGUCUCCUCCUAAAGAGUAACGGAGGAGCACGAAGGUUGGCUAAUCCUGGUCGGACAUCAGGAGGUUAGUGCAAUGGCAUAAGCCAGCUUGACUGCGAGCGUGACGGCGCGAGCAGGUGCGAAAGCAGGUCAUAGUGAUCCGGUGGUUCUGAAUGGAAGGGCCAUCGCUCAACGGAUAAAAGGUACUCCGGGGAUAACAGGCUGAUACCGCCCAAGAGUUCAUAUCGACGGCGGUGUUUGGCACCUCGAUGUCGGCUCAUCACAUCCUGGGGCUGAAGUAGGUCCCAAGGGUAUGGCUGUUCGCCAUUUAAAGUGGUACGCGAGCUGGGUUUAGAACGUCGUGAGACAGUUCGGUCCCUAUCUGCCGUGGGCGCUGGAGAACUGAGGGGGGCUGCUCCUAGUACGAGAGGACCGGAGUGGACGCAUCACUGGUGUUCGGGUUGUCAUGCCAAUGGCACUGCCCGGUAGCUAAAUGCGGAAGAGAUAAGUGCUGAAAGCAUCUAAGCACGAAACUUGCCCCGAGAUGAGUUCUCCCUGACCCUUUAAGGGUCCUGAAGGAACGUUGAAGACGACGACGUUGAUAGGCCGGGUGUGUAAGCGCAGCGAUGCGUUGAGCCAACCGGUACUAAUGAACCGUGAGGCUUAACCUC
rnacentral:rRNA from 1 species